UCCAGACUCCUACGGGAGGCAGCAGUGGGGAAUAUUGCACAAUGGGGGAAACCCUGAUGCAGCGACGCCGCGUGGGUGAAGGAGCACCUCGGUGCGUAAAGCCCUAUCGGCAGGGAAGAAACAGACGGUACCUGACUAAGAAGCCCCGGCUAACUACGUGCCAGCAGCCGCGGUAAUACGUAGGGGGCAAGCGUUAUCCGGGUUUACUGGGUGUAAAGGGAGCGUAGACGGCAGUGCAAGUCCGGAGUGAAAGCCCGGGGCUCAACCCUGGGACUGCUCUGGAAACUGUAAAGCUGGAGUGCGGGAGGGGCAGGCGGAAUUCCUGGUGUAGCGGUGAAAUGCGUAGAUAUCAGGAGGAACACCGGCGGCGAAGGCGGCCUGCUGGACCGUAACUGACGUUGAGGCUCGAAAGCGUGGGGAGCAAACAGGAUUAGAUACCCUAGUAC
rnacentral:rRNA from 1 species